GCCUCAGUUUUUUCUUUUCUGUUUUUUUUUUAUGGCUGUAGAAAUAUUUCACACAUGGGAUAAAUCUGAUAAUUUCAUUCCACAAAAGGGGAUACAUGGUCAAUGUAAGAAAAAGGAAUAACUUUUCCAAGAAUUCAAAUAUAGACAAAUUUUCAGUUCAAGACUUAACAACACUGAGGAUUUAACUCAUAUUCAUAAGCUUCAUAUAUUCACGAAUGUGUUAUUCAAUUACUGGUUGAAUGUUUUCUAUGUUUGAAUUCUUGGUUUUUUCAUUCAAUAGUUAUUGUUGUGCAAGCAAAUGGAAUUGAACAUUUACUGUUGAUUAAUUAUUUGUUUUUCGUUGACGUUUUUCAUGGAAUUUAUGGGUACAGGUGAACCAGAAAUUUAAAUAUUCAACGAAUAGCAAAUUUUUAACAAGACUUUAGGACAACCAUGAAAUUUAUUUGUAAGAGCUUAAAAUGUUCUGACAUGUAAAUUAAGUCUUUAAAUAUUAUAAUUUAUUGAUGUCAUUCAACUAUUUAAGGCUAUAACUUUUGUUCAUUUUUUUGUGAUUGAUGGAAAACUAACACCUGUUUUAAGGUUUGUGUUUUGAGGUAUGGUUGUCAUGUGAGUCAUUUGGUUGCUGUCUCAUUGGUUAUACUGUGGAUUCAUAAUCGUGGAUAUUUGAUUUCUUAGUUUUGCCAAAACCUGUAUACAAAGCCUAUUGAAAUAUUGAUAAUUGUUUAACAUUUGAUUUCGUGGUUCACCUGUAACCAUGAAACCCAUGGAAAUUGGUAUCCAAUGAAUAUUUAUGAAUCCACAGUAUUCCCAUAUCAUCACCUUUUAAUUCUUUAAAAAAAAAUUGAUAUUCAAAUGUUAACGACAGAACCUGUUUUCU
rnacentral:lncRNA from 1 species